rnacentral:lncRNA from 1 species
GAUGAAAAGUGUCUAGAAUUUUGUGGGGUUUAUAGCCAAAGUUUAUUCUUUGAUUGGAGCUUUGUAAUAAUAAUAGAGAUCUUGUGAAGCAGUGUGUAAACUUAGACUCCUUCCCUACUCCUGCAGAGUGACUUUUCCUUACCCUUUAGUCUUUUAAACACUACUUAUGCAAAUAUUUUAAUGGUUCUCGUUCAAUUGAGGGUUCACAAUUUCUCUCUCUCUCUCUUUUCUUUCUGGAGUUUAUACCACUUUGAAGAUAGAUAAAGGAAGAUUGAAUAAACUGCAAAAUGUCAAAGAAGAACUUCAGAGAAACAUUUCCUUCCAGCUGAUGACUAACUUAAAUAGGUCUGAAAAUAUAAGAAAUCUCUCCAUCACUUUGCAAAAUUUGGCUACCAAAUUAUGUCGUGAGCUGAAUAGAAAAGAACCAGGGCACAAAUGUAAGCCUUGCCCCAGCAGUUGGAUAUGGUACAAGAAUAACUGUUAUUUCUUAACUACAACACUUCAAACAUGGCAAGACAGCGAAACGUCGUGUUCCUCUCAGAAUGCCAGCUUGCUGCAGAUUAAGGAGAAGAGUACAUUGGUAAGGCUUUAUGUCUCUUCCGGUGAGGAAAGAAAUCGUUUUUUCUUAAUACACAGUAGGCUAGUGGCGAGCUUUUGUUUGUCUCCAACUGUUAUUUUAUUUAUAUUACUGUGCUUAAAUUACAUGGAAAGAAGACAACAAAGAAGUUCCGCCCCAUUUCAGAGAAGGUUUCCAAUCAACACCAACUGUGUGGUGGCAAUAAGCAGGCGUGGUGUCUUUGGGUCAAGACUGACAAGGAAACAUGGGCUCUGCUGCUGCAGUUCAUCUCCAACAAGAAUGUGGCACACGGGGCAGCACAAGCUAGGCUCACACUGAGCCUUCAGCACUGGGCACAGAUUCGGGCCUCUUCUCUCAAGCUAGCGAAUCAAGUGAAAUAACUGGGUUUAAAACAUGUUUUAAAAUCAAGCCCAAAUAAGUGUAAAAACCACGCUGUUGACAUAGUCUCCAUUCAAAAUUUACAUAAACAUACUUUUCACCCUAAUAACUUAGAUUGUUUCCUCACAUAGCCCACCGUGUAGCUGCAGGUAGACUCUUCUGCCUCACGAUGGACACAUAGGGAAGAAAGGUAACAGCAUCUGCAUAAUAUUUUCUCUACACACUGCAGUUGGAUGGAAAAUACAAAAUUUUUAAAAAGAAAGAAAGAUUUCAUCUUAGAUUCUCACAACCUUGUUUUCCGCAGUUCAUGAAUCCAACUCUGAUGCUAAGGUGACAGUGCAUGUAGGUAGAUUUUUGUUUUCAAUGAAGGGGACCUGGGAAAAGACGGAUUUAUCUCUUUUUCUUCAAGAAUUAUCCGAUGGUACAUGCUCUUCAGUAGACUGGAGGCAAGCUUGUUGGCCAGGACACUCACUAGUGAUUCUUAUUAUAGUGAGAAAAGAGAUGAGACUUUGCACAUUUAUCUCAGGGAAUCACAGCCAAAGGAAACCACAGAAAACCUUAGCUCAGGACCUUCGCAUAGGAGUCUUUAGGAAGCUCGUGGGUAAAUAAAGGGUGCCCAGAAUCUUCAAGUCUAUGCACAUCCCCAAGUUGGAAUUCUGGAAUCAAGUCUCAGAACAUGAUUUCUGAAUAUUUUCUACAAACAUGGAAUCUGGAAAUGAUUCUGAAGAUUACUAAUUCCAUCAAAAUUACAAAGGAGGAUCUUUUCAUUUGGCAAAUUCCACACGAUAUGUCACACUGAGUCCCAUGAAAAAUAAAAUCUCUG